rnacentral:rRNA from 1 species
UGAGCUGUGAUGGGGAAGGAAAUUAAGUACGGAAGUUCCUGAUUUCACGCUGUCAAGAAAAGCCUCUAGGAAGAGUAGUACUGCCCGUACCGCAAACCGACACAGGUAGAUGAGGAGAGAAUCCUAAGGUGAGCGAGAGAACUCUCGUUAAGGAACUCGGCAAAAUGACCCCGUAACUUCGGGAGAAGGGGUGCUCUAUUAGGGUGCAAGCCCGAGAGAGCCGCAGUGAAUAGGCCCAGGCGACUGUUUAGCAAAAACACAGGUCUCUGCAAAACCGUAAGGUGACGUAUAGGGGCUGACGCCUGCCCGGUGCUGGAAGGUUAAGAGGAGUGCUUAGCUUCGGCGAAGGUACGAAUUGAAGCCCCAGUAAACGGCGGCCGUAACUAUAACGGUCCUAAGGUAGCGAAAUUCCUUGUCGGGUAAGUUCCGACCCGCACGAAAGGCGCAACGAUCUGGGCACUGUCUCAACGAGAGACUCGGUGAAAUUAUAGUACCUGUGAAGAUGCAGGUUACCCGCGACAGGACGGAAAGACCCCGUGGAGCUUUACUGCAACCUGAUAUGGAAUGUUUGUACCGCU